CGUAGAGUAUUUUAUUAAGAAUAUAGGGCUCAUGAUCCUAAGGUGUGGACUAACUGAAACAGGUCUGCCUCUACGUC
rnacentral:tRNA from 1 species